UCUGUCUAAGUUGGUGGUGGUAUUUGAGCCACGGUCGUCUACUGUGUAUAGGAGGUAAUAUGAUAUAUUCCUUUCUGGUGAAUUACAUGACACAUGUUCAUUAUCCAUUCAUCCAUAUUAUUUUUUCUCUUAAUUAGGUUCUGUUUUUGGCUAACUUUUAGCUUCCUGAUGUAUAAUAGUGCACCUAGUUAUGCAGAAGCACUAAGUGGGAUUCGGAUUCCUACCCAUGAUGAAAGAUAUUUCUUUUCAGAUACAUGUUACUUGCAAUUUUGCUUUGCUUGAUGUCGCAUACUGAAAUUUUUUGUUGAUAGGGUUGGCCAAACUUCUGUAGUAGCUAUGACAGGGCUUUUCCUACUGCUAGCAAUAAUAAUCAUAACCAAUGUUGUGAGAUAAAUAUGUUUCUUUACCUGCCAAUGUUGUCUGGAAAAAGGUCCCUCUUAAAGUAAAAAGGAGAAAGAGUGUACUCAUGGUUGGACCUUGACUGAUGAACUACUUUGCAAACUCUGCCAAAAACCAUGCGAGGGGAGAAAUGCCAAGAUUUCUCAAUAUUUUGAGGAUCCAUUUUGUAAUAUUGGUUGCUACGACCCACACUGUCGAGGGUUAAUGUGUAUGGUCACACUGUGCAGCCAAGUUCUAAUCCAUAUAGUCAACUGCCAAAACCCGGUUCUAGUUUCUGCGGCCAACCCUCUCAGCCUAAUGCGAAUCCAUAUGUUCAAUGGACAUAAGUCAUUUUGCUAUAACCCAUCAAGGAACAUAAGCCAAGGGCUGGUCAUGCAGGUGUGACCAUUGGGGAGAAUUGGUUUAUUGUUUGUCGUGCAGACAAUUAAAGUGGGGCAUCCGAAACUGUAGUGCUUAACAUGUCAACCGUAGCCUGGUCUUGUGACAUCAGUUGAAGGAUGUGUUCCUCUUGCUAGUGAGUACUGUUACAAUGGCUUAAACUUCUCAAUUUGGACCAAGGAGCGUAAGAUAGAUGCCAAUAAAUAAAGAUGGCUCUAGAGUGGAUUAAGGACCCCUUGGCGUGUCCCUCAAGUUUUGAGUGUAUUGUCAAAGUAAUUGAGUCUGUUAGGUGUAAUGAGGACCUAAUUUGUUUCAUUCAAAGAAGUGUGGAUUGGGAGGUGGACGAGUUAGCAAAAAUGGGGAUUGGUUAGUUCUAGUGAGUAAGAUGGUCGAAUCUGUUUGUCUCAGAAAUAGGGUUUAAGUCUGGUUGUAGGCUCGCUUAAUGGGGAAGAUAUACUUAUAUCUUUUCGAGGUUACAAUAGGUGCUACAACAGUGAG